UACGGAGGGGGCUAGCGUUGUUCGGAAUUACUGGGCGUAAUGGGCGCGUAGGCGGUGCGAUCAGUCAGGCGUGAAAGGCCCGGGCUCAACCCGGGGACUGCGCUUGAUACUGUUGCGCUGUGAGUCCGGGAGAGGAUGGCGGAAUUCCCAGUGUAGAGGUGAAAUUCGUAGAUAUUGGGAAGAACACCGGUGGCGAAGGCGGCCAUCUGGACCGGCACUGACGCUGAGGCGCGAAAGCGUGGGGAGCAGACAGG
rnacentral:rRNA from 1 species